NUGACCUUUUUAUCGAAUGCUUUCUCACUCUCUGUUGAUAUAACUGACCAUGACACAUGGCAGUUGAUCUCUUCUUUCUUUCAGCCGGGUUCAGCAUCAGUCAACUUGGGACUUUGAGGGUGCUAUUUCUCUUUUGUUUCUUUCUUUCUUUUUCUUUCUUUUGAUUUUGAUUUUGAUUUUUUUUCUUAUUUUGCACCCUCUUCUUUUUUUGUGCUUGUUUUUUUUUUCUUUUUUUUUUUGAUGCCCCAGUUGGCUGUUCUGCUGAUUCUCGAGAUGCAGCUGAGUGAUCUUCUUUUCUCGCUCAAGAAGUCGGGAAAUCUCGUCAGGAAUCCCU
rnacentral:lncRNA from 1 species